rnacentral:rRNA from 1 species
CCUACGGGUGGCAGCAGUGGGGAAUAUUGGGCAAUGGGCGCAAGCCUGACCCAGCAACGCCGCGUGAAGGAAGAAGGCUUUCGGGUUGUAAACUUCUUUUCUCAGGGACGAAGCAAGUGACGGUACCUGAGGAAUAAGCCACGGCUAACUACGUGCCAGCAGCCGCGGGAAUACGUAGGUGGCAAGCGUUAUCCGGAUUUACUGUGUGUAAAGGGUGUGUAGGCGGGACUGCAAGUCAGAUGUGAAAACAACGGGCUUAACCUGUGGACUGCGUGUGAAACUGUAGUUCUUGAGUACUGGAGAGGCAGACGGAAUUCCUAGUGUAGCGGUGAAAUGCGUAGAUAUUAGGAGGAACACCAGUGGCGAAGGCGGUCUGCUGGACAGCAACUGACGCUGAGGCGCGAAAGCGUGGGGAGCAAACAGGAUGAGAUACCCGAGUAGUC